rnacentral:rRNA from 1 species
AUGGCGCUCCUCCACCUCCUCUCCCUGCUCCUACUCUGCCCGGAGCCGGCGCUGGCGGGGGACCCGUUCGCCUACUUCGACUGGGAGGUCUCGUACCAGUCGGCCCGCCCGCUGGGCGUGGCGCAGAAGGUCAUCGCCAUCAACGGCCAGUUCCCGGGGCCGCCGCUGAACGUGACCACCAACUGGAACGUGGUGGUGAACGUCCACAACGCCCUCGACGAGCCGCUCCUCCUCACCUGGCACGGCCUCCAGCAUCGCAAGAACUCGUGGCAGGACGGCGUCGCCGGCACCAAUUGCCCCAUCCCCGCCGGCUGGAACUGGACCUACCGCUUCCAGGUCAAGGACCAGGUCGGCAGCUUCUUCUACUCCCCCUCGGCCGCGGCGCUCCACCGCGCCGCCGGCGGGUACGGCGGCAUCGUCGUCAACAACCGCGACGUCAUCCCCAUCCCCUUCCCCUUCCCGGACGGCGGCGACCUCACGCUCUUCAUCGGCGACUGGUACGUCAGGUCCCACAAGGACCUCCGCAGGUCCCUGGACUCCGGCGCGCCCCUGGGGCCCCCCGACGGCGUGCUCGUCAACGGGCUGGGGCCCUACCGCUACAACGACUCCAUCGUGCCGCCGGCGAUCACCUACGAGAGGAUCAAUGUCGAGCCUGGGAGGACCUACAGGCUGCGGGUGCACAACGUGGGGGUCUCCACCAGCCUGAAUUUCAGGAUCCAGGGACACAGCCUGCUGCUCGUGGAGACCGAGGGCUCCUACACCUCGCAGCAGAACUACAGCAACAUGGACAUCCAUGUCGGUCAGUCCUACUCCUUCCUGGUCACCAUGGAUCAGAACGCCAGCACCGACUACUACGUCGUCGCCAGCGCCCGCUUCGUCGCCGACCCCGGCGCCGUCAAUAAGCUCACUGGCGUGGCCAUUCUGCAUUACUCCAACUUCCAGGGCCCGGCCUCUGGCCCUCUCCCUCCUCCCCCUGACGACCAGUAUGACACUGCAUUCUCCAUAAACCAAGCCAGAUCCAUCAGGUGGAAUGUUACCGCCAGCGGCGCCCGCCCCAAUCCGCAGGGUUCAUUCCAUUAUGGCGACAUUACGGUGACCGAUGUGUACUUGUUGCAGAGUCGGCCGCCCGAGCUCAUAGACGGGCAACUGCGUUCUACUAUCAAUGGUUUAUAUUAUAAGUCAUGUACCCCUUUGUAUUUAUCUCAUUGUAUAAGUGGUUUCCUGCAUAUGUUCCACACCUGUACAUGUAUAUAUAUCGGCCUAUGGCCUCAUGGGAAUACAAGUUGCAUAUUCCUAACAAAUGGGGUUGCUCCUUCCACUCCAUUGAUACUUGCACAACUAUUCAAUGUCCCGGGAGUUUUCAAAUUGGAUUUCCCUAAUCAUCCGAUGAAUAGACUGCCAAAAGUCGACACAUCGGUUAUAAAUGGCACCUACAAAGGCUUUAUGGAGAUUAUAUUCCAAAACAACGCCACGACCGUGCAGAGCUAUCACUUGGAUGGAUAUGCAUUCUUUGUUGUUGGGAUGGACUAUGGAUUGUGGACCGACAACAGUCGAGGUACCUACAACAAAUGGGAUGGUGUUGCACGGUCAACAAUCCAGGUAUUCCCCGGUGCUUGGACUGCUGUGCUCGUGUUCCUGGACAAUGCAGGGAUAUGGAAUUUGCGCCUGGAGAACCUGGACAGCUGGUACAUGGGCCAAGAACUGUACAUAAGCGUGGUGAACCCAGAGGAAGACCACAGCGACAAGACUCCGCUUCCUCUUCCGGAUAACACAAUUUUCUGCGGCGCGCUCUCGAGCCUACAGAAAGAACAGUCUCAUAGGUUCCAGUACUCGGGAGCUUCACGGGUUGGGAAGACGGUGUCUGCGGCGAUGAUCUCGACGACAUGGUUGGCUGCUACCUGGUUGCUGUAUAGAUAG